GAUUCAUUUUAUUUUCUCUCUCAUUCACACUUUGUUAUCCCCAAACCCUAGCAACAGCCGCUGUGCACUCAUCCCUUCUUUGUUUUCUCUUUCAAGUUCAAGUCCCAAACUUUCUCUUCUAAUUUCUUCUACUCUCAUUUUUUGUUUGUGAAUUAUUCUCUAUUACUUUGUUCCUCUCCAACAAUUUUUGUUUCUACUCCUUGUCUCUCAAAACAACUCUAUAUAUUUGCAGAUCUAAAUGUUUGUCAUUGCUUUUGUUUGUUUAUAUUUUUUACAGAUCCGGAUUUUUUAGUUUUGGAUCUGUUAUUCUAUUUUUCUGGAGAAGAUUGGUUACUUUGUUUGAUUUUGUUUUCCUCAUCUUUCUUCUUAUUCAUGACCCAUACAGACCAAACCGAGUGAUCUGUCCAACCCGAAAAACCGAAAUAAAAUAUGGGUUGAUAUGGACCUCGUAAUAACACAUGUGGUUUGGGUCGGAUGGACAUUUUGGGCCCACACCCACCCAUUGUCCACCCAUACACACCACUACCAGUGUCCUUCAUUAUUCAUUUUCCAAAGUUAGAAAACAACCUUUUACUCUUCUCUCUCACGCAAAAGCUUCAGCAACAACAACAAAAUCAUUUUACUCCAUUUUGGAAGCUUUGAGCUUUGCGUGUGUCUCUACACACAUGUUCUUCCAUCUUAAUCAAUCUCCCAAAGAAGAAGCUUGACUCAUCUCUUCCCUUGCAGCCAUAUCCAACAAAGAAAAACCCCAAAUUUCCAAUCUCUCACAAAUAACCCAUUUCUAGUCAUGCAUGUUUGAGAUUGUUCUUUAGAUUCAAGAUUUGAAGUGAUGUCAUGCAUGUUUGAGAUUGUUCUUUAGAUUCAAGAUUUGAAGUGAUGUAAUCUAAGUCCUAGCCACUGCAUGUGUAGACUCCUCUUGGAUUGAGAUGUUUGUUCAAAAAUCUAAGGUAAGAUCAAUAACUCCAAUUUCAUUCCUUUCCUUUCCAAUGAAGCCUAAAUUCAUUCUUAAGUUUAUGCUCAUUUGGGUUAUUUGCAUGUGAGCACCUUUUAAGAGUUAGAGAGCAGAAUUAGCACUGAAUAAGUAUGUUAGAGCAGAAGAACAUGGGCACAAGAUGGAAGCUUGAAGUUUUGAUUGGGGAUUUUUGAAAAAGUUUGGGUUAAACUCGUAUUUUUAUGGGCUACGGGUUUGCAUUUUGAGCAGCUCAAACGGAUGAUUAUAAGCGUGUGAAACAGUUCGGAAUUGCUAUCAACUCAGCACAAGCAAGCAGAAAAUAGAAGAUCAAGUAGAACAAGAAGCAUGCCAGCAAGGCUACGAGAAUGUGAGAUAACUCCAGAUGAUGGAGUUACAAAUGAAGCUGAACUUGUCCAUUUUAUCUUUCUAGUUGAUGUUGAACCAGUGAAUGUGAUUGAAGCAUUGAAAGAUCCAAAAUGGACUAGUGCCAUGGAGGAAGAGCUGGAAUCCAUAGAGAAAAAUGGAACUUAGUCUUUACCUGAUUUACCACCAAAUAAGAAGGCUAUUGUUGUGAAGUGGGUGUACAAAACCAAAAUGAGUACUCAAGGUGAAAUAACAAGGCAUAAAGCCAGAUUAGUGGCAAAUGGUUUUCUUCAAAA